AACCACACGAAAUAAGGGAAAAGGAAGACUGAGUGUUUAUCAACACUUAACCAACAGAGCUCCCCAAACCUCUCAAAAGCCAAAAGGGUCUUCAACCCCAUCGCCACUGCCAUAAAAAACCCACUUGAUCCUCGCUUCCACAACACCGUCCUCCAUCCUACGCAGCAAUCUCCACCGUCAACUAGGGACUUAACCAAAUAGCCUUGGUCCAUGGAAGCUUUCUGUACAUGCAGAAUUGCAAAGUCGCAGUUCACCCAAAUCGUUCUUGUCCUUGUUAGUUUUAUCAUGGUAUGAACUGAGUUUCUUGAUUUGUAGACUCGUUAUCAAAUGGGUUAUUGAAACUUCAUGAUUGGAAAUUUUCCAAACUAGUCUUCAUGUUUCAUUUAAUUUUCUUGAUCUAAUACUUGCAACUCUUUCGAAUCAGUAGUCAUGUGCAAAUGGUCUGAUGAAGAAUACGAAGUAGUAGUUUUGGAUCUGUCCUCCUCCGCUGACUUAAUCUUUGCCAUUGCAACUACCGACCUCUGGAUCUAGAUAAUUGACUUAAGAUUUCUUGUGCAAUUCCUUUGCCCAGAACUUUUCUAGAUCAGUUCGUCCUCUGGGAGCAUGUAUUUUUGAAAUAGGAACCAUGUAUUUUGAAACAGUAACGAAGGAAACAAUAAAAUUUCUAAAACCAAGAUAAAAUACCAUUCACACGAACUAGUAAUAUAUUAUAACACAAGCUCGUUAGAUUGAUGUGACUGGGUUUCAGCAUAUGAGAAUAGUGUGGGACCCGCCAAUUUCUUCCACAUGGACAAGUUUUAUCGUGUAGCAAUGCCGGCAAUACGUACAGAUCAAAAAUCUGUCACCGUAUCGUGUGAAAUGGCAAGUUCACACGAAAAAGUGUGUAAAUUAAGAGAAAUACACACAGAUUCUGCACUGUGUGCUCUAGCUAUAUUUUCUAGUAGUGUGUGCAUUGAGAUAUCUACCUCUGAACUAACAACCCUCUUCACCAUUCUGUAUUAUAAGAACACAUAUUGAUCAACAUGAUAUUGUACUGUAAAUGAGAAGGCAUUAGCCUAAGUUUGAUAGAAUAGAAACUAUAUAUUGAAGCAGACAUUGACAUUGUACAACGGAAGUAACUGACAUUGGUGAUACCAACAUACACAAUCAAUCAUUACAAUGGAAAACUAGAAAACAACAAAUAAUGCAAUGUUCUUUCUUCAGUUGUUUUUUAAUUUGAUAAGCGAAGCUGUACUUUCACCAUACAAUCAAGAAAACUAUCAAAUUAUGACAUAAACAUCUUAAUCUGUUAAUUCAUAAACUGCAUUAACAAUCAAGUGCCACAAAUGCCAUGAAAUGUUUUCCUCUUAAAAUAACCAUGGUUCAUAAGCAAAAGAACACUACUACAAAAAUUGAAUCAGACGACGCCUCUCAGACGACGCAUUAUAGUUUUCCGUCGUCUGAUUGAUUUUAAUUUUUUUAGACGUUGUUUUUAAAAAAUCUGUCGUCUGAUAUGGAAUUAUGAAUUAGUUCAGAAGACGUAUAAGGACAGAACCGUUGUAUGACCCUAAAAAAAUUGAGCGCCAAGUUUUCCACCAUGUCAUGUGGUGCCAAACGUCAUCUCAAACCCCAAAUUUUCCCUAACAUGUAUUAAUCAUACGACGAUAAACAAUAAAACUGUGGUCUAAUUAAAAUGUUCGACAGAAAGGAGGGAGAUUUCUCUCCACAAUUUUCUCCAACUCCCCACGGAGGGAAGUCCAAUUAAUAUGAGACAAACCCUAAAUUUAAAUGGCUACAUUCAGACCACGUUCUUACACAAAUCUGUUGUGUGAGUCCUUGUACAAAUUGAUAGGGCCUCACAAAUCUGGCAGAAACCCUAACACUUGGAGCAAAAAACAUAACAAAAAUAACAAAAUAGCAAAACCCUCUCUCGACAGCUAGCGCCUCACUCUAUUUUGACUCGUCUCACUAUCGAUAGAUCCUCUAGUCUCUCGCUCUCUUGGUCGCCCCACUCUCGACAGACCCAAACCAAAACCAGAAUCCUCACUUUCCCAAACCCUCAUUCUUCUCUCUAUCUCGACAGACCCAAACCAAAACGAAAAUCCUCACUCUCUAGCCAAAACCUCACUCUCCCAAACCCUCAUUCUUCUCUCUAACCAAUCUCAUCUCUCUGCGAAUGGGAUUGAACCGGUGAACUGAGAUUGAGCCGAUUCCCUUCGAGCGAAGCAUUAUUGGCCACUUUAGCCUCUCCGACUGGUUCCCGUCGCAUCCAGCUGCAAGUCGAGACCGAGUUGUUUCUUUUUCCUGUCGCACCCAGCCGUGAGACCGAAUUGCAGAUAUUCCUGCAAAUGACUGGUUUGGCUGCAAUAGUAGUAGUUGGAGCAUAUAUGGGUGAAUGUGAAUCUGCUCUUUGGGACCAAUCUCAUGAUACAGAUGAAUGUGAAUCUGCUCUUGAAGCCCGAUAUCAAAUAGGGUCAUGAGCACAAUUGCUACUGUCAAGCUCACCACCAACUGCAAGACUUGUUAUCUAUUCUGCCUUUGAUAGUCAGGGACAUGGCAGACAACUAGUCAGUGCUUUAGUAUCUGUUUCAGCAAAAGAAAGUUUAGAGCCACAAGCUUUAGGAAUUGAGUUCUAUGACUCUCCCAAUAGGUUUCUGUUCUUGAAAAUGUGUAUUGAAGCAACUUGGAAUUAUUGCUACUGAGUGGCUCAUAAUACUUGGAUUGCAGAUUGCCAAGAAUUAUGUGACAAUUUGUUCGGCGGCAUAUUGGUCAUUAGAUCUCUUAAAGGAGUAGUCAACUGGCUGAUCUCGUGGAUUUGGAUAUGUAAUGUUUGCAUCAGCUGAAGAUGCCAAGCUUCAAACUCUGACUAACCCAAGCAAAGAGGAGUUUUGUAAAUUGCUUGAAUCGUAUUAGCCAAAUCUUGUAUACUUGUAAGGAGAGCAGCUUGAAAAUGAUGAAGUUGGUUCUCUUGCCUGGAGAGUAGCUUUAAGAUAUCUAAAGAUGCUUAUGAGGUUUAUUUGGAGGUUCCAAAUGGCAAAGAAUUGGCAGUGACCCUUCUACCAUCGUGCUUUAGAUAACUAGAUUGUGAUGUCACCUUUUUUAAUUGUUUGAUGGUUCCAAAGUAGUAUUUAAUUGUUUGAUGGUUGCAGCUCUUAACAUCAAUUGGAAACUUCUGCAUCUAUUCAAUUGUUGUUGGAAUGGUUAUUGGAAUAUCAGUAGGAACUCAGAGGAGGCCUGCCCAUUCUUACUGGUGCCAACACUAGGCUAAGCAACAUGGCAAGUACCAAGGAUGUGUCCCAAGGAUCACAGACAGUAGCUCGACUUGUAGACAUGGAGCUGCAAGGUACUUGGCCAUUGUAUGAUGUAGAAAAUGGCAAAAAAGUUGACAGAAACAGAGAGAAGACAAAUGUACAUGCAAAUGACCAUCCUAAAUUUGUGUAUGAAUAUUUGGGAAAUACUCCCUAUUUGAUAUCAAUUUACUGAAUUCAUUUUACAUGU